AUUGAACGCUGGCGGCAUGCUUUACACAUGCAAGUCGAACGGUAACAGGGAGCUUGCUCCGCUGACGAGUGGCGAACGGGUGAGUAAUGCGUCGGAACGUGCCGAGUAGUGGGGGAUAACGCAUCGAAAGGUGUGCUAAUACCGCAUACGAACUGAGGUUGAAAGUGGGGGAUCUUCGGGCCUCACGCUAUUCGAGCGGCCGACGUCUGAUUAGCUAGUUGGUGAGGUAAAGGCGCACCAAGGCGACGAUCAGUAGCGGGUCUGAGAGGAGGAUCCGCCACACUGGGACUGAGACACGGCCCAGACUCCUACGGGAGGCAGCAGUGGGGAAUUUUGGACAAUGGGCGCAAGCCUGAUCCAGCCAUGCCGCGUGUCUGAAGGAGGCCUUCGGGUUGUAAAGGACUUUUGUCCGGGAGCAAAUGCUGGUGGCUAACAUUCACCGGAGCUGAGAGUACCGGAAGAAUAAGCACCGGCUAACUACGUGCCAGCCGCCGCGCAUCAC
rnacentral:rRNA from 1 species